GUACUUACCUGGCAGGGGAGAGACCGCGAUCAAGAAGGCGGUUCAGCGGGGUGACGCUCCGCCGUGGCCCCCCGGCUGUGCUGUGGGAAUCUCGACUGCAUAAUUUCUGGUAGGGGGGGGACUCUCUACCCUAG
ensembl:snRNA U1 U1 spliceosomal RNA